GAUGAACGCUAGCUACAGGCUUAACACAUGCAAGUCGAGGGGUAACGAGAGGGAAGCUUGCUUUCCUUGUCGACGACCGGCGCACGGGUGAGUAACGCGUAUCCAACCUGCCCCCAACUAGGGAAUAACCUUGCGAAAGUAAGACUAAUACCCUAUAAUUUCCUCAGAUGUCAUCUGACGAGGAAUAAAGAUUUAUCGGUUGUGGAUGGGGAUGCGUCCGAUUAGCUUGUUGGCGGGGUAACGGCCCACCAAGGCAACGAUCAGUAGGGGUUCUGAGAGGAAGGUCCCCGACAUUGGAACUGAACCACGGUCCAAACUCCUACGGGAGGCAGCAGUGAGGAAUAUUGGUCAAUGGGCGGAAGCCUGAACCAGCCAAGUAGCGUGCAGGAUGACGGCCCUAUGGGUUGUAAACUGCUUUUAUACAGGAAUAAAGUUAGCCACGUGUGGUUAUUUGUAGGUACUGUAUGAAUAAGGACCGGCUAAUUCCGUGCCAGCCGCCGCCGCAG
rnacentral:rRNA from 1 species